GGAUGAUAGAAUAUCAAAUUUGGUGCCAUAUUUUGCAAUCAUUAUGAUUUGGCUGAGGCCAGAUGGAACUUUCUCCUGUAGAGCGAUGCCUAACUAGUGAAAAACAAACCAGAUCUGGGUGAGCCCAGAUGGUUUUCAUAGGCGAAAAGUUUGGUUACGUAUAAGGGUUUCCGAAUGAAAUGCAUGGAUACUUGGGUGCCAAGUUUGGUGCAAUAUUUUCUGAUCAGUAUCAUUUGGCUCAGGGCAGACUUACAUUUCAAUUAGAGGGAUGAGCAAUGAAUAAAAAACAAGCUAUAUGUGUGUUUGCCAACAUGGUUUUCACAGAGGGAAAGCUUGGAUACUUAUUUAGUAUAUCCAUGUGAAGUGCAAGGAUGUUAG